GCUAGGUUGCAAGCUUUGUCCGGAGAGCUCAGAAUCUCAUAAUAGAACACUGAGAAGUUAAGUGCAAGUCCAAGCCUUAUGGGAUGGGUAGGUGCCAGUUCAGCCAGUGCAAUAUCCUAUAGAUUUGCAUGGCAAGUCACAUUAAGAAUAUAUCAGUCCAGUAGUCAAAAGUGAAAAACAAUGGUCACUUGGAAAUGAUGGAAGAAUACUAUCACAGAAAUAACAAUCAAAUGCAAGCAGGUUAUGGAAGUGACAACAUGGACCAACCUGAGCUGCCUUAUAAGCCACCAUUGUGCUCUCUGCAGAUUCCUUCCUCUCAGUACCAGUCUUAAACUCAGCAAGGUACCUUUAAUAAAAAAAUAGAAAGUGAACAGUUAGUGUUGUAAUUGCAAACUAUAUGGAUUCAACUACACAAGACAACAUAGCAUCCCACUUCCUAACCUGUGAUAAUCACCCUUCAUCUUGAGGUAGAACACCUUUGACUCUGCAGCAGUGGAGGAAGGCACAAGGUGCGAGUCAAGCAGCUUCAGGAUACCAUCACAAAUAUUGCUCAAUUCAGCCUCAAUCUUGCCACGGUAUUCCUUGAUCUGAGCGACAUGUUCCUCGUUCUUGCGGGACUCCUCCUUCUGCUCAAUGGAGGAGACAAUGCGCCAUGAGGCACGGCGAGCCCCAAUCACAUUCUUGUAAGCAACAGACAGGAGGUUACGCUCCUCAACGGUGAGCUCUUCCACAUCUACGGUCUUAGCCACCUUCUCCAUGUACUCAACCAUCUCCUCGUACCGUUCUGCCUGCUCAGCCAGCUUGGCCAUGUAGACAUUCUCCUCCCGCGACAUGUUGAUCAAGAAAUUGAGUU
rnacentral:lncRNA from 1 species